rnacentral:lncRNA from 1 species
AAAGCAGCAAAUAAUGGACCUGCUGCCUUCGGUGAAGUAGAAAGGUUUGAUGAUAAAGAAGGUGGAUCUGGUGGGACAAGGGGGCGUAAGAAAGCGUCUGGUGAUGAGGAUGAAGGCAAUGCGUCCGACCAUGCGGAUGAAGAUGAGGACGAGGAGUCUGCUAGGAGAAACAGGUUGGGACUCAACAAAAAAGACGAUGAUGAUGAAGAGGGUCUUAGAGGGGGUGAUCUUGACCUGGAUGAUGAUGAUAUUGAAAAAGGUAAGACUUUCUUCUUCCUGGAAGUGCUUUGCAGAUCCGCCCCACUGACUUAAUUAUCUAAUAAUCUACAGCAACAUACCCAGUGUUUCCCACACUAUCUAGUAAUCUAUGGCCUGCAUUUUAUUCUAAAUGGCUGAAGCCUCAGUAUCCUUCUCUGUCC